AAUGGACCAAUUUGUAAGUCGCUCUGGAUAAGAGUGUCUGCUAAAUGAUGUAAA
rfam:Salmo salar isolate Sally breed double haploid chromosome ssa27, whole genome shotgun sequence.